rnacentral:rRNA from 1 species
GAUGAACGCUGACAGAAUGCUUAACACAUGCAAGUCAACUUGAAUUUGGGUUUUUAACUUAGAUUUGGGUGGCGGACGGGUGAGUAACGCGUAAAGAACUUGCCUCACAGCUAGGGACAACAUUUAGAAAUGAAUGCUAAUACCUGAUAUUAUGAUUUUAAGGCAUCUUAGAAUUAUGAAAGCUAUAAGCACUGUGAGAGAGCUUUGCGUCCCAUUAGCUAGUUGGAGAGGUAACAGCUCACCAAGGCGAUGAUGGGUAGCCGGCCUGAGAGGGUGAACGGCCACAAGGGGACUGAGACACGGCCCUUACUCCUACGGGAGGCAGCAGUGGGGAAUAUUGGACAAUGGACCGAGAGUCUGAUCCAGCAAUUCUGUGUGCACGAUGAAGUUUUUCGGAAUGUAAAGUGCUUUCAGUUGGGAAGAAAAAAAUGACGGUACCAACAGAAGAAGUGACGGCUAAAUACGUGCCAGCAGCCGCGGUAAUACGUAUGUCACGAGCGUUAUCCGGAUUUAUUGGGCGUAAAGCGCGUCUAGGUGGUUAUGUAAGUCUGAUGUGAAAAUGCAGGGCUCAACUCUGUAUUGCGUUGGAAACUGUAUAACUAGAGUACUGGAGAGGUAAGCGGAACUACAAGUGUAGAGGUGAAAUUCGUAGAUAUUUGUAGGAAUGCCGAUGGGGGAAGCCCAGCUUACUGGACAGAUACUGACGCUAAAGCGCGAAAGCGUGGGGUAGCAAACAGG